UCUUGAGACCUUUGGCGUAUUCAAAAGAGGGUGAUAAGGUUCUUGUUGAAGUGAAUGGCGAAAAGCUGUUAUGGUAUGAUUUGGAAAAGAAAAGACUCAGGAGUGUGAGGAUCAAUGGCGGUCCAGAUUCAUUUGGAGCAGAAAUGUGUGUGGGAAGCCUUGUCCCUCUAAAUGAUGGAGAUAGUAAAAUCCAUGGAAUGAAGCAGAGGGAGAAAGAGGAAAAGAAGAAGAUUACAAAUAAGAAGAUCAGGGUUGAUUUCUUGUCAAAAGGGUUUAAGCUGGUUUUGUAAUCACCUGAGAAUAAGAGCACCCAAAGGGAAAGAAGUUGUUUCUUGUUGCAGGUUUUUCCCUCGGUGCUUUAUGCUUAGUUGCUUACACUUGAAGCAGCAGUCAACACAGUUUCAGUGCAUAUACCUGAAUGUUCUUCCAAGAAUUUUAGUUGUUUACUGUAAAACAAAAUUUCCUGUCAAACUUA